UACGGAGGGGGCAAGCGUUAUUCGGAAUCAUUGGGCGUAAAGGGCGCGUAGGCGGCCUGGCAAGUCAAAGGUGAAAUCCCUCGGCCUAACCGAGGAACUGCCUUUGAAACUGCAAGGCUCGAGGCCGGGAGAGGGUAGCGGAAUUCCCAGUGUAGCGGUGAAAUGCGUAGAUAUUGGGAGGAACACCAGUGGCGAAGGCGGCUACCUGGACCGGUUCUGACGCUGAUGCGCGAAAGCGUGGGGAGCAAACAGG
rnacentral:rRNA from 1 species